rnacentral:rRNA from 1 species
AACGAACGCUGGCGGCAUGCCUAACACAUGCAAGUCGAACGAGACCUUCGGGUCUAGUUGCGCACGGGUGCGUAACGCGUGGGAACCUUCCCUUAGGUUCGGGAUAACUCCCCGAAGGGGGUGCUAAUACCGGAUAAUUUCUUCGGACCAAAGAUUUAUCGCCUUUGGAUGGGCCCGCGUUGGAUUAGCUAGUUGGUAGGGUAAAAGCCUAUCAAGGCGACGAUCCAUAGCUGGUCUGAGAGGAUGAUCAGCCACACUGGGACUGAGACACGGCCCAGACUCCUACGGGAGGCAGCAGUGGGGAAUAUUGGAAAAUGGGCGAAAGCCUGAUCCAGCAAUGCCGGGUGAGUGAUGAAGGCCGUAGGGUUGUAAAGCUCUUUUACACGGGAUGAUAAUGACAGUACCGGGAGAAUAAGCUCCGGCUAACUCCGUG